UACGUAGGGUGCGAGCGUUAAUCGGAAUUACUGGGCGUAAAGCGUGCGUAGGCGGUUCGUUAAGUCAGCUGUGAAAGCCCCGGGCUCAACCUGGGAACUGCGGUUGAAACUGGCGAACUAGAAUCUGGCAGAGGGGGGUGGAAUUCCACGUGUAGCAGUGAAAUGCGUAGAUAUCUGGAGGAACACCGGUGGCGAAGGCGGCGUCCUGGACCAAUACUGACACUGAGUGAGCGAAAGCCAGGGGAGCAAACGGG
rnacentral:rRNA from 1 species